rnacentral:rRNA from 1 species
CAGCCUACGGGACGCAGCAGUGAGGAAUAUUGGUCAAUGGGCUUACGCCUGAACCAGCCAAGUCGCGUGAGGGAAGACUGCCCUAUGGGUUGUAAACCUCUUUUGCCAGGGGACAAAGGCGGCCACGGGUGGCCGUAAGAGGGUACCUGGAGAAAAAGCAUCGGCUAACUCCGUGCCAGCAGCCGCGGUAAUACGGAGGAUGCGAGCGUUAUCCGGAUUUAUUGGGUUUAAAGGGUGCGCAGGCGGCGUGUCAAGUCAGCGGUAAAAUGUCGGGGCUCAACCCCGGCCGGCCGUUGAAACUGGCG